rnacentral:tRNA from 1 species
GGGGUUGUGGCUCAGUGGUAGAGCGCUCGCCUAGAAUUUGUGAGGCCCUAGGUUCGAUCCUCAGCACCA